rnacentral:lncRNA from 1 species
CUCGAGAAGAGGUGCAGCUUUUAUAAGGAACAUUGUCCAUGAGAUGCCGGCGUUAGGAGAUAUGUUAAUUAAUCACAUAAAGCUUCUUCAGCUUGCUGAACGCUGCUCGUAGAUUUCUCCGGUUCUCCGGUUGCACCCAAAUCUUGUCAGCGUUGAAAUCCAAGCAGAGGCAUUCCACAGGGUUGGCGUUCUCCAGCUGGAGGUCGCUGAGC